UACGGGGGGGGCAAGCGUUGUUCGGAAUUACUGGGCGUAAAGGGCGCGUAGGCGGCUUUUCUAAGUCGGGGCGAUGAAAUCUCCAGGCUUAACCUGGAAGGGUCCGUUCGAUACUGUUAAGCUAGAGUGUGGAAGAGGCUACUGGAAUUCCGUGUGUAGCGGUAGAAAUGCGUAGAUAUACGGAGGAACACCUGCGGCGAAGGCGGGUAGCUGGGCCAACACUGACGCUGGGGCGCGAAAGCUAGGGGAGCAAACG
rnacentral:rRNA from 1 species